rnacentral:lncRNA from 1 species
UGACAUUUUUCUGUAAUCAACUAUCAAUAAAUGCUAAUCUGGAAUGCCCCCUUUGUCCCGCAGCUCUGCUGAUGUCUGUCUAUCUGCCUAGCAGUGUGGUUCGGUUCCUGCCCAAGAGCAGUGGAGAGCUGAGGGUUAUUUUCCUGUGUGGUGGCAGUACACGGGUAGGUGUCUUUCAGAGGUAAACCAGCUGACGAUCUGGCUUAGAGAGUGAGAGAGGACAAAUCAGUUCUUUGGCAUGUGCAGCCCGGUACCAUUAUUCAGAAGGAAAGACUGCCUCUAGAAGAGGGAGACUUUGGGACGUGGGGUGGGGGCUGAGGCCAUCAGGGUGGGAAGUGGAGGCCAGGUUGGAAAAAUAAGAGUCAAGGACACGUCCAAGAUAGUAUUUCAAGAGGUUGGAAACUGCGCCAGAUAAAAUGCUGCAUGGGAAGCUUGGCUAACGUGAAUUCUUUUCCUUCUCCUUCCCUACUUGUUGGCUUGCUGGUCUUCUCUGCUGACUGGGUACCACAUCCAUUGUGGGGGAUAGACUGUCUCCCACCUGAGCCUCUAGCCCACCAGGCUCCCCCAGGCUUUCUACCAUGAACCCCCGGAAAGCACUCCACUUA